rnacentral:rRNA from 1 species
AACGAACGCUGGCGGCAGGCUUAACACAUGCAAGUCGAACGCUCGUAGCAAUACGGGAGUGGCGGACGGGUGAGUAACGCGUGGGAACGUGCCCUGAGGUACGGAAUAACUGAGGGAAACUUCAGCUAAUACCGUAUGAGCCCCGAGAGGGGGAAAGAUUUAUCGCCUUGGGAGCGGCCCGCGUCGGAUUAGCUAGUUGGUGGGGUAACGGCCUACCAAGGCUUCGAUCCGUAGCUGGUCUGAGAGGACGAUCAGCCACACUGGGACUGAGACACGGCCCAGACUCCUACGGGAGGCAGCAGUGGGGAAUCUUGCGCAAUGGGGGCAACCCUGACGCAGCCAUGCCGCGUGAACGAUGAAGGCCUUAGGGUUGUAAAACUCUGUCGGGAGGGACGAAGGGGAAACUCUGACGGUACCUCGCAAGAAAGCACCGGCUAACUCUGUGCCAGCAGCCGCGGUAAU